rnacentral:rRNA from 1 species
GAAUUCACUAGUGAUUCGUAUUCCGCGGCUGCUGGCACGGAGUAGCCGGAGCUUAUCUCCCGGGACUGUCAUAUCAUCCCGGGUAAAAGAGCUUUACGACCCUAAGGCCUUCAUCACUCACGCGGCAUGCUGGAUCAGGCUUGCGCCCAUUGUCCAAUAUUCCCCACUGCUGCCUCCCGUAGGAGUCUGGGCCGUGUCUCAGUCCCAGUGUGGCUGAUCAUCCUCUCAGACCAGCUAAGGAUCGUCGGCUUGGUAGGCCUUUACCCCACCAACUACCUAAUCCUACGCGGGCUCAUCCCUGGCCGAUAAAUCUUUGGUCCGAAGACAUCAUCCGGUAUUAGCAGUCAUUUCUAACUGUUAUUCCGAAGCCAAGGGCAGAUUCCCACGCGUUACGCACCCGUGCGCCACUAACCCCGAAGGGUUCGUUCGACUUGCAUGUGUUAGGCAUGCCGCCAGCGUUCGUUCUGAGCCAUGAUCAAACUCUAAUCGAAUUCCCGCGGCCGCCAUGGCGGCCGGGAGCAUG